AUUGAACGCUGGCGGCAGGCCUAACACAUGCAAGUCGAGCGAGCGGCGGACGGGCGUGUAAUGUAUGGGGAUCUGCCUGAUGGCGGGGGAUAACUACUGGAAACGGUAGCUAAUACCGCAUACCAUCAGAUGAACCCAUAUGGGAUUCUCUAGUAGGUAAGGUAACGGCUUACCUAGGCGACGAUCCCUAGCUGGUCUGAGAGGAUGAUCAGCCACACUGGGACUGCGACACGGCCCAGACUCCUUCGGGAGGCAGCAGGGGGGACUAUUACACAAUGGGCGCAAGUCUGGUGGGGCCCUGCCGGGUGUAUGAAGAAGGCUUGCGAGUCGUAAUGUUUGUUGAUUGGGGAAGCGGUACCAUAAGAAAAAGCCCCGGCUAACUACGUGCCAGCAGCCGCGGUAAUAC
rnacentral:rRNA from 1 species